UCAUGUUUCACUCUGAUUGGACGACGCUCUUGUGUGGCUCCAGCGAUUGGCGGAGAGCAGGAAGACCCUUUGCGCUUGUCUGAAGUGUAGAGGAUUCUGGGGACGCAGCCAUCUCGUGUCAGAGAGAUGCAGUGUGUUUAUCGCACAUGGGACUGAUCUCCAUCCCCCGCUCUCUCUCCUUGUCUCCCUGCCUGAAGAACUCCUCCAUGAUUCUCUCUGUCCAUUGUCGAUACACAGCCAGAGGCUUUGUGGGAUUGCUCAGAAACAGGGCUUGAGCCCUUUGCAAGCAUCUGUGCAGACAUCAUGCUAACACAAAGCUAGGCAAGAACCCAGAAUGACAUAAUAGCUGAGUGGCUGCUGACCCCAGCCCAGCAGCCAGACCCUGAACUUCAACAGGUAACAAAAGCAAUAAGCUUGCUGGCCUCUAUUUAAACCUAUGCAGUUGAAUUACUGUGGCGAUUCCUUUAAAGUAUUUUUGGGCUCUUUAUAUGUGUGUCCUUGUUAGGGUAGGGAUUUCUGUUGGUGUGUGGGACUGUAGCCUCAGGUUUAUAAGUAAUAGAAAAGUAAAGAGUAAUGUGCAAUACAUUACCUUUUUUGAGUAAUGGCCGUAACAUUGAUUAACACUAUCCUGAAAUCUGAUAAGCAUGAAGAUUGUUUGCCCAUAGUCUACUUUGUCCCUUUAAGUUGUUUAACAUUUUGCAUUUUAAAUUGACAAAGCAACUGAAAAAAGGUGGCGCAAACCCAAUGUUUUUAUGACCUUUUUCACAUUCAUUCUCUUUUCCUUUCCUUUCUUCCACGAGUUGGUACAAUUCUCCAAAGUCUCAGUAACUGCUCUUUCCUCCUUAUUGAUCUUGACAGCUACUAGGCAAAAAUGUUCUUUAUGUUUAAAUCCUCAGAAAACAUCAUCCACUGCUUGCAGCUGAAUUUAAUUAACCUCUGUAUCUAACCUCCCAAUGAAAGGGUUGUAAAGAUGUUAUCAUUUAAUCCAGAUGUCACCUGAGCUCUUCCUUUAACUGCCACUGUUAAUGUCACCUGUUCUUUUGUGACAUCUGACUGGAGCAGUGCAAAUCACUUUGUUUCUCCAGUGGUGAGAAACUCCAGAUUAGCUGUCCUUACCAAAACUCUUGACACAUAUAAUAAUACAAUAAGUUGUUAGAAUCUAGUCUUUCAGGAUUCAAAUACUUUUCGAAUUAACACCGUUGUUUCGUCUUUGCUCAAAGACAGCUGAUCAGCUGCUUUAGAAACUGUCAGCAACCACCAUCACCUUGGCUGAGAUAUCUAGGGAUGUUUAAUUUCUGUCCCAUUCACCACACUUAUUAAAGCUCAGUUUCUUACUUUUAUUGGUAAAACAGUAGGACAGUCAGGUCAAGAUACACAGUUUACGUUUCCAGGUGGGUCAGAUUCAUGUAUAAAUUAGUAAAGGUAGAUCUGGACAUAGCUGUAACUCAUCAUUUUAUUAAAUGAGUCUUCAUAACUGUCAGUCUGGAUUGUAGACCUUGCAGGAGUUUGGUGUGUGAAGUAUAUUGUUCAACCAAGUAGCAACUUACAGCUCUGAAAGAUGAAGUAAUCAUUCAAAUGCCAAAAACUGCCACUUCAAAGGCUGGCUUCAAAACAGACAGUCCUCACAGGCUCCCAUGUUAAAAUGAUUUACAGUAGAGCAGAAAUAGGCAUGUUUACUGCUUGGAACAAACACCAGUUUGGUCUCUGUUACAAAUUUCUCUCAUAAUGAUAACUGUGAGGAUUUGGUAAUUUAGAAAAAAACAAAAAACGUUAACAUAUAAAACUUGCAUAAUCAGAGGCGUGCCCGCUUUUACUGACAGGUUUAGGCCAAUGCAAGCGGCUUUGCUUCUGCCAUUUGAAAGUCACCGAACUAGAAGUCUCAACUGUGUCAACACUUUUAGGUGCUUCCUUAAAUGUGAGUGCAUUGCACUUUGGUAACCAAGCAUGCUAGCAUUACAUGAUGCCCUAGCACUCCACCAUUGCAUUCAGAUACAUCCCUUCUGCGCCAAAAUAACAAGACUGCAACAGCCGUGGAGUCCAGCCUUGAAAACCAAAGCCCAGAAACUAAUGGCUGUCUUUGUGGUGGCUACACGUGUGUUAUACAUGCACUUUAAGGGUUUAGUUUAUUUAAAACAAAAUGCCAGCUUCAUAUUUAUUGUUUCCAAAUUGUCUCCACCAUUAAAAAACAUUGUGGUGCCUAAACUAGCAACAUACCACAAUAACAGCAAACAUGCAGGUUAUACAUAAUUUACAAGCUGUGUAAAACAGAGGUCCCCAAGAACUUGUUCUUCCCAGCUCCCUGCUAUGACUGAUGUUUCAUGUUGAUCAUACACUAACUUUCCUUACAUCUACCUUAUCCAAUCCAGUGUUUAUUUGAGCCACGUUCACUGUCUCAUUAUCUUUUAUAACAAUUUGAAAUAUUCCUCUCAUUAUUUGUUGAUUGAAGUACUUUUAAAUUAAUUGAAUAAUUG